rnacentral:sRNA from 1 species
CUCCCACUAGUGUAUGCCUUAAUGGUGCCACUCUUGUCUGCGUCUACGCUUGGGGCCUUGGCUUCUGACUUGGAGAGUGUACAGCUCUGCCCGACGGCAACCCAGCUUGGGAAGAGAAGCCCCAGCGUGGGCUGGGGCUCAAGGCGCAGGAAGGCCGAGCCCGGCGCGGACACAGGCGGCUCCGGGCGGGCUCAGCACCCCCAGGCACCGUCUCCUAGUGACCGCGGCGCUCGCGGGCCUGGCGGCCGUUGUCCGGGCGACUGCGCAGCGCGGGCACCCCCGCGGCCCCUCCCCUGGGCGCGCGCGCGACCUGGGUGCCAUGGCGGCGGCGGCGGUGACAGGCCAGCGGCCUGAGACCGCGGCGGCCGAGGAGGCCUCGAGGCCGCAGUGGGCGCCGCCAGACCACUGCCAGGCUCAGGCGGCGGCCGGGCUGGGCGACGGCGAGGACGCACCGGUGCGUCCGCUGUGCAAGCCCCGCGGCAUCUGCUCGCGCGCCUACUUCCUGGUGCUGAUGGUGUUCGUGCACCUGUACCUGGGUAACGUGCUGGCGCUGCUGCUCUUCGUGCACUACAGCAACGGCGACGAAAGCAGCGAUCCCGGGCCCCAACACCGUGCCCAGGGCCCCGGGCCCGAGCCCACCUUAGGUCCCCUCACCCGGCUGGAGGGCAUCAAGGUGAGGACCUCCCUGCCCCGCCGCGCUCCAGGCCCUGCACGGCUGAGCCCGAGAGGACCGGCGCUCAGCCCGGGUCCCCACGCUGCCCCCGGCGCUGCUCUGCGUCGGUCCCGCGCGCUCCCACUCACUCGCCUGCUGUCGCGCUCCGGGCCGGGGCGACUUGGCCCUUCUUGGGCAGCGCGGUCUGGCGCCCCAGCUGUCCGCUGUGCGCCUUUUCCUUAGGUGGGGCACGAGCGUAAGGUCCAGCUGGUCACCGACAGGGAUCACUUCAUCCGAACCCUCAGCCUCAAGCCGCUGCUCUUCGAAAUCCCCGGCUUCCUGACUGAUGAAGAGUGUCGGCUCAUCAUCCAUCUGGCGCAGAUGAAGGGGUUACAGCGCAGCCAGAUCCUGCCUACUGAAGAGUAUGAAGAGGCAAUGAGCACUAUGCAGGUCAGCCAGCUGGACCUCUUCCGGCUGCUGGACCAGAACCGUGAUGGGCAUCUGCAGCUCCGUGAGGUUCUGGCCCAGACUCGCCUGGGAAAUGGAUGGUGGAUGACUCCAGAGAGCAUUCAGGAGAUGUACGCCGCGAUCAAGGCUGACCCUGAUGGUGACGGUGAGCUCACACCUCUGCACAGUCCUAUCCCCGUGAGCCUCCUGCCCACUCCCAGGUGCACAAUUUUGAAAACUUGGGCCCUUCCCCCACAGCCAGGCAGCCUCUCUGCACCCCUUUAUAGUGACCAGAGAUGGGGAGGCGAAGAUCCAGCCUUGCUUUUUACCCCUGGGAAGUAGGCAGGCAGCCAGGCCCCCUGUUCCCCUUGGUGAUGGUCUUGAGGGCAGUUCUUGGAGACCCUUUUGAUAACAUCAGGCAGAGUUGAGAGCCUGGGGACAGGAAGUAGGGCUGCUAGUUGGCAGAGAACAGAGUGGGUGGAGCAGGAGCAAGGCGACAGUGAGGCCAGCUAGAGCUUGGCUGUUUACCCUGCUCCAUCCAUCUCUCCAGCCAGACACGAGGUCCACCCCAGCAGACAGCUUCCCUGGUCUAAGUGAGAUCUCCCUUGCCUUCCUCUUGUCCACCUGGAGUCAUGCCGAAGCGCCUAAAAUGGUAGUGCUGCUAACUGUGCUAACUGCUGGGGAGGGGUGGGCAGGGAAGCUGUCAUGCAAGUGGUGCCCCCUCUGGUAAUAACUCUCAGGAGGUUUCUGAGGUGUGAUCAUCACCCUCAUGCCCAAAUUCUGGACCAAGAGAGGAAGAUACAGCAGUUAGAAAGGACUUGGAAGAGUGGCUUUGCGGCUGGUGAACCAGAGUGAAGAAUCUGGCCAUGACCUGUGGCUGGAUGGCUGCCACACUGCUACAGGCCCCAGAACAGAGGUGGUGACAGUCUCACAGCCCUUGAAUGUCCCCCACCCUCAGAGGAAUCUGGGCCAAAGAGUGGAAGGUGACGUCCUUGGGUCAGCCAGAAUAACAUGGAGCAAAGAUACCAACUACUCUUCCAGAACCCCAAGAGGGUAGAACCCCUGCUUAAUGGUUUGAGCAGGGACAGUGGAGAAUGUUCUCAUGAGAGGGGGUGGCCUGACUUUCGUUGCUAAGGUGGGCUGGUAACGCAGUAGGCAGGGCUAGCGAAGUAGGUUCCACCCAGGAUGAGACCUGGGGUCAUGAGGAACUCCCCGGGGGCUGGCCCUGCUUGCACCCUGGCGUAUGUAUGUAAGGCCCUGGAUGAGGCCCAGCACUGCCUGCUCUCUCCUCACCCUCCACAGGCCGGAGAGUGGCCACCACUCUAUAUAGCCAGGCUGGAAGGCCAGGGCCCUGGCCAUAUGGCUCAAGCUUCCUUUGGAGAACCUUCUCUGGCCACUCUAAUAGGGGGUGGGCCUCUCUUCUUAGGGCCAAAUUAGGGCUUAAACUGAGAAAAGGAACUGCUCUGGGUCUUCCUGUAAGGCCUGAUGUGACAGAAACCAGGUUCAUCUGACCCAAAAGUCCAGGUGGGGGACAAGUGUACAAGGCCCCUCAGUGCCUGAGGUCAGGGGCUGCUGCUGCCUUUGGGGUAGGUAGGGAAGUGCAGCCUGCCACUGUUGCCUCCCAAUAUGGGCUUGGCGGGCAUUGAUGGUGGGUGCCCUGUGCAGGAGUGCUGAGUCUGCAGGAGUUCUCCAACAUGGACCUUCGGGACUUCCACAAGUACAUGAGGAGCCACAAGGCAGAGUCCAGUGAGCUGGUGCGGAACAGCCACCAUACCUGGCUCUACCAGGGUGAGGGUGCCCACCACGUCAUGCGUGCCAUCCGCCAGAGGUGAGCACCUGAAGCUGUUCUCACUGGAGCAGGGGGAGAAGACUGGGCAGGGCUUCCACAGAAGUCCUUGUCUGGGGCCAAGAGGACAGAAUGGAUUAACCCAUUUGGGAUUAAGUUCCAUUUGUUAGACCAGGAUUGGGACCCACUGAAAGACAGGCAAUUAACAAAGGCAAAUUAGCCCUCCUUGCAGGCACACAAUGGGCAACUGGGAUUAGAGAUUGAGCACUUCUUUCUGAUUAGAUAAAUGACCCCUUAUCUUUGACCCCUUAUCUGACCCCGUCACAGCAGGAAAAGGGUUUUUAAAUAAACAACUUUCUUCCAGGGAGGAGGACCUCAGGACUCCCUGCCCCCUUUAUUUAGUGGAAAUGUCAACAUUUCCACAUAGCAGGUGUCUCUGUCUUUGGCAUCUGAGGGAGAAGGAUCAUCAUGAGUAACCCCCUCCUGCUCUUACAGGGCCAGUCUGAGAUGGCUUAAGGGACUUCCAGGGGAGGUGGGUAGGGGCAGAGCUUGUGGCAGGCCUAGGGUCCACCUUGGCCAGCUCCUUCAGAUCACCACCUUGCCUGGGGCUGCCCAGCCAAAUGCCUGCUGCCCACCAGGGUGCUGCGCCUCACUCGCCUGUCGCCUGAGAUCGUGGAGCUCAGCGAGCCGCUGCAGGUUGUUCGAUAUGGUGAGGGGGGCCACUACCAUGCCCACGUGGACAGUGGGCCUGUGUACCCAGAGACCAUCUGCUCCCAUACCAAGCUGGUAGCCAACGAGUCUGUACCCUUCGAGACCUCCUGCCGGCAAGUAUCUCCCAACUGGGGGCUGCCUUCAAACCUCAGACCAGGAACACCCAUGACACAGGCGCAGCCCUGCACUGUGGGCGUGCCCCUUGGCAUGGGGCCAGGAGAUCACUGGGUUAUCCCGGUUAGUGAUGCCCUCACCUCUCCCCACAAGUUGUUUACCCAAUGGCUGGAAAGGGGUGGCCACUGGCCAUCGUGACCACUGGAGUCAACACAGACUGAAGUACCCACAGACACCAAAACUUGCCCCCGGAGUUCUGAAGCAAGGGGCAAGGCUGGGCCCCUAGCUUGUCCUGCCCAUUCCUCCAGGUGUUGAUCUUGAUUCCACUUAGAGAAGCUGAAGCUGUGCCUCCCUCCCCUGUCAAGGCAGUUCUUUCCUCUUCAGGUGGCUGUUCUGGCCCAGCCCCUUCCCAUCCCCAAGGAGUCCUUCAGCGCGCCCUGUUGCUUCUGCUAGCCUACCUUUCCCUGCCAGGCCCUUGCUCGGGGCCAUGGCAUUUAACUGAGUGCACCUGUGAUCUUGGCCAAAAAACCAUUGCAACUCACAGUAAGAGACUGGGUUUCGGGGAAGGAGGGGCUAGGGACAUUUUGGCACUGGCCUGCCCUAUUGUCUCCCAUCCUAGUCUGUCCUGGUCCCUGGCAACAGGAACCUGGGCAGCUUAUCCUGCCCACAGGUAAGCCCCUGGGAGCAUCCACAACUGGGGACCUGCUCAGUGGCCCCCCUGCCUUACAGCUACAUGACAGUGCUGUUUUAUUUGAACAACGUCACUGGUGGGGGCGAGACUGUUUUCCCUGUAGCAGAUAACAGAACCUACGAUGAAAUGGUAAGGGUCAACUGGGCUAUUACUCUUGUGGGCUGGCAGGGGCUUAGACAAGUGAAGUACACACCUCUCCAGGUCUAAGGAUGUGGGCCCAAAUUAUUCCUUGGGCAUAUCUGGUUGGUUUCCCUUUGGUCACCCUUGGCUGGCCUGGCCAUAGAGUGGGGACAGGUUGAACACCCCACCACCCUGCUGCCCACAGAGUCUGAUUCAGGAUGACGUGGACCUCCGUGACACACGGAGGCACUGUGACAAGGGAAACCUGCGUGUCAAGCCCCGACAGGGCACAGCAGUCUUCUGGUACAACUACCUGCCUGAUGGGCAAGGUUGGGUGGGUGACGUAGACGACUACUCGCUGCACGGGGGCUGCCUGGUCACGCGCGGCACCAAGUGGAUUGCCAACAACUGGAUUAAUGUGGACCCCAGCCGAGCGCGGCAAGCGCUGUUCCAACAGGAGAUGGCCCGCCUUGCCAGAGAAGGGGGCACCGACUCACAGCCCGAGUGGGCUCUGGACCGGGCCUACCGCGAUGCGCGCGUGGAACUCUGAGGGAAGAGUUAGCCCCGGUUCCCAGCCGCGGGUCGCCAGUUGCCCAAGAUCGGGGGUCCGGCUGUCCUUCUGUCCUGUUGCAGACUAAAGGUCUGGCCAAUGUCUUGCCCCACCCCGCCAGCCGCGAUACGGCGCAGUUCCUAUAUUCAUGUUAUUUAUUGUGUACUGACCCCAUCUGCCCCGUCAAAUAAAAAAACCACAAGGUUCGA